rnacentral:lncRNA from 1 species
UUAUUAAUAUUAUUUUUUAUUUUUAAUUUAUUAAUUCUUUUGUUCUCAUUUAUUAGUAUUUAUUAUUAUUUUAUUUUAAUUAAUUUGAAGGAAUGUACGGUAUUUAUUGGCUUGGAGCAUAGUUAGUUAAUUCGGAUUCGGCAAAAAUUUGGUACAGAUAUAAUACGUAGAAAAUUUGUUUUCUAAUUUUUAAAUUCGUUGAAAAAUUCGGCUUAAAAAAGAGAUUCGGUAUAAAAUAUAAAAUAUAAGAUAUAAAAUAUAAAAUAAUUUAUAUUUAAAAAUAAAAUUAUAAGUUUUUUAUUCAUAUUUUCAAUAAUUCGGUAAUAAUUCGCGAAUAAUUCGCAAAUUAUUCGCUAAUAAUUCGACUGACUCAAAAAUUCGUGAAUAAUUCUCUUUCUUUCGAAAAAAUUCGUAAACGGACCGUUUAAUUCGGAUUUUCAAUAAUUCGCAAAUAAUUUGCGAAUUUACUAACUAGGGCUUGGAGUGGAACGUUGGGUUGAUUCCAUGCAACGUUCUAUUUUUGUAAUAUACCGAGAAUUCGGAAAAUAAAUAAUGAAUUUUAGUCAAAUUGACCAAAGUGCGAGAAUGGUACACUUCGAAAAGUCCGAAGGUGUUAAAAGAAUCAAAAGUGCAUUGUGGGAGGUUUUCAAGAGCUAAAGAAUCAAAAAUCUGCAUUUUGUAGGUUUU